AUUGAACGCUGGCGGCAUGCUUUACACAUGCAAGUCGAACGGCAGCGGGGGCUUCGGCCCGCCGGCGAGUGGCGAACGGGUGAGUAAUGCAUCGGAACGUGCCCAGUCGUGGGGGAUAACACAUCGAAAGAUGUGCUAAUACCGCAUACGUCCUGAGGGAGAAAGCGGGGGAUCUUCGGACCUCGCGCGAUUGGAGCGGCCGAUGUCGGAUUAGCUAGUUGGUGGGGUAAAAGCCCACCAAGGCGACGAUCCGUAGCGGGUCUGAGAGGAUGAUCCGCCACACUGGGACUGAGACACGGCCCAGACUCCUACGGGAGGCAGCAGUGGGGAAUUUUGGACAAUGGGGGCAACCCUGAUCCAGCCAUGCCGCGUGAGUGAAGAAGGCCUUCGGGUUGUAAAGCUCUUUCGGACGGAAAGAAAUCGCCGCCUCUAACAUAGGCGGUGGAUGACGGUACCGUAAGAAGAAGCACCGGCUAACUACGUG
rnacentral:rRNA from 1 species